ACUCCGCAAUUCGCGAAAGCGUGACGGGGGAACUCCAAGUGCUGCAGCGUUAGCUGUAGCUUUUGUUUAGCGUAAAUAACUAUUCGAAUAAGAGCUGGGUAAGACCGGUGCCAGCCGCCGCGGUAACACCGGCAGCUCGAGUGGUGACCAUUAUUAUUGGGCCUAAAGCGUCCGUAGCCGGUCUGAUAAGUCCUUGGGUAAAUCCUGACGCUUAACGUUAGGAAUUCUAGGGAUACUGUCAGACUUGAGGCCGAGAGAAGUCAGAGGUACUCGUUGGGGUAGCGGUGAAAUGCUGUAAUCCUGGAGGGACCACCAGUGGCGAAGGCGUCUGACUAGAGCGG
rnacentral:rRNA from 1 species